AUGUCUACGACCGCCUGUGUUCAGCGUGCUCGGAAGGAGCUCAACUUACCCAUCUUCUCCCAAGGGUUCUGCCAGCCUGAGACUCUGGAGCAUGAUGACAGUGCCAGUGUGGCUCCUGCCUUUGAUCCCGAGCCGGUCACCGCCCACUGCUUCAAGCAGUUCAAGCAGGAGGACUUCUGCCUGCUGCAGAGCCGCCGGCGGGUCCUCAUCGUGCCUGCCCAGCAGGGGCAGCCAGCCAUGGAUCCCAAGCCCCGGCCUCCACCACUCCCACCAUGGGCCCCCAGUGUCAGAGUCCUGGGUGCUGGGGACAUCCCCGAGCAGAGGGAGGACAGGGCGUCCUGGCUGCACCAGAGGGCAAAGCUGCGGAAGGAGCUGGAGGCCCUGGGGGACAUGACGCGGUGGCUGGAGAACAAGCCCAGCAUCACCCCCUCGGAGGCCAAGAUCCUGCGCAUGCUCCACGAGGAGCAGAAGGCCCAGCUCAUGGGGGAGGUGACCAUCACCACAGCCACCAAGAAAAGAGCCCCCCGACGAGUGGUGCCCCAGCUACGGCUGCCCAAGCCACCGGCCCUGUCAGCCCUGUACACCUACCUGCGCAGCCGCAAGAUCCAGGUGCUGGAGCUGUUUGCCAAGGGCCUGGGCACACAGCAGAGAGUCCCCCGGGAGGAGUUCCUCACUGCGCUGAGGAUGGUUGGGGUCCCCCUGAAGGAGCAGGAGAUGGAGGACGUGGUGAUCUACCUGAGCUCCCUCGGGAAGCACCGCGACAUCACCAUGGAGACCCUGGCCAGUACCUACAAGCAGUGGUCUCUGGCCCAGCUGAGGAGCACGACGGUGCCCACGCUGCACAAGUGCUUUGGCCCGGCCCAGGUCACGACAACCCCGCAGCCCUGCAGGAAGCACCUGCUCAUGGUGCCCGAGGUCCCUGUGCCUACGGAGGCGCGGCCCCUGACGCUGGAGGAGAUGGAGGAUGUGGGCAAGCACUACCGCGAGCGCAGGCGGCAGCAGAAGGUGCUGGGCAGGCCUACAGGAGGGGCUGCAUCCGUGUCACAAAGACGCCCAGCCCCACAAGGGUCUGGGACAUGGAAAUGGACUGGACUCAGAAAGUGCUGAAAGACCCCCCACAUUCUUUAAUUAGAACUUUUCUUUUUUUUGGUACUGGGGAUCAAACUCUGAUCCUUGAGCUUGUGAGGCAGGUGGCGGAACCACUGAGCUAAAUUCCCAGACUUUUUCUUUUCUUUCUUUUUUUUGUUUUUGUUUUUUUCUUUUUGCUUUUUGAGACAGGGUGUCAUUAUGCAGUUAGUUCAGGCUGGCCUUGGAUUUACUAUGUGGCCCAAGCUGACUCAAACUUAAGGCAAUCCUCCUGCUUCAGCCUCCCCAGUGCUGGGAUGACGGACAUGCACCACCUUGUCUAGGUGCCGCUCUUUAAUUAGGACUUUUCAUCUUGAGACCAGGGUUGUACCUUUGUCAUAGCUUGAGCCUGGCACCUGGCUCCAGAGUGCACAGACUGCAGACAGUUGGGCUGGCUCAGUGGCACGCAUAAGGCCCCGGUUUGCCCUGCACUGUGCUGCACCACACAAAACAAAACAAAACAUCAGGUUUUUGUUUGUUUGUUUGGGUUUUUUUGGUGCCGGCCACUGAACCGCUGAGCUAAAUCCCCAGCCAAAACAACAGGUUUUGCAGGCCACCUGGUCUCUGUCACAGGUGCUGGGCUCUGCUGCCAGGGACCCCACAUACACACAGCUUCGAGCCCGUGGUCCCAUACGUCUUGACUUAGGAAAGUGCAUGCCAGGCUGGAUUUGACCUAUGGGGUAUACAUUGCUGAUUCUGUUGUGAGAAGUUUUAAAAUAGAUUUUUUUUUUCCUUGUUUAAAGAAAAAUCAUGCUGGUCAUUGUGGCCCAUGCCUGUAAUCUCAGCACUUCCGAGUCUGAGUCAGGUGGAUUGCUGUGAGCUGGAGGCCAGCCUGAAGUACGGAGCAAGACCAUACCUCAAAAAACCAAAAUAAAAUAAAACAGCCAGUUGUGGUACCAUGUAUCUGUGAUUCCAGCUACUUGAGAGGCUGAGGCAGGAGGAUCUUAGUGAUUGUCUGAAAUGCAAAAACAGAAAAGCCUAGGGUAUAGCUCUGUGGGAGAGAGCCUGGGAUUCCAUCCCCAGCACCACAAAAAAGGGGAAGAAGGAGGGGAGGCAGCAAAGGCCCAGGAGACCUCAGCAGCCCCUGCCCGUGUCUCUUCAGCUCCCCAUCCCCUCCAUCCAGUACACAGAGAGCUGCCGCAUGGUGCGCAGUGGGGACCAGCGCGUGGACCAGCACUGCCUGCCAUCCACAGUGGUGGGUGAGAGCCGGGAGCUGCUGGAUGCAGCCCGCAUGGAUGGCUUCCUGCUCUACAUGCGCUGUGGGCAGCAGUGUGUGGCCCCAGGCCUGCCAGUGACCAAGGAUGUCCUCACCCGUG
ensembl:lincRNA